rnacentral:rRNA from 1 species
CCUACGGGUGGCAGCAGUGAGGAAUAUUUGACAAUGGGCGCGAGCCUGAACCAGCCAAGUAGCGUGAAGGAUGACUGCCCUACGGGUUGUAAACUUCUUUUAUAAAGGAAUAAAGUGAGGCACGUGUGCCUUUUUGUAUGUACUUUAUGAAUAAGGAUCGGCUAACUCCGUGCCAGCAGCCGCGGUAAUACGGAGGAUCCGAGCGUUAUCCGGAUUUAUUGGGUGUAAAGGGAGCGUAGAUGGGUUGUUAAGUCAGUUGUGAAAGUUUGCGGCUCAACCGUAAAAGUGCAAAUGAUACUGGCAGCCUUGAGUACAGUAGAGGGAGGCGGAAUUCGUGGUGUAGCGGUGAAAUGCUUAGAUAUCACGAAGAACUCCGAUGGCGAAGGCAGCCUACUAAACAGCCACUGACAUUGAUGCUCGAAAGUGUGGGUAGCAAACAGGAUUAGAUACCCCAGUAGUC